CCAAACCUAUUUUCUAUUUGGUUUAUCAAAACAUUAAUGAAUGCUGUCGUUGCUGUGUUGGAGUUUGUGUAUUUUUGUUUUAGUUGUGAACAAUAAUUAAGUAGAACUUUAGAAAAUACAACAACUUUUGAAAUAGUACAUGCAGCAACUUUAUUUUCUAGUCCCCACUCAGUGACAACACGUAUCAACUCAUUUUUUAAAUUUUCACUAGUAUGUGACUCUGAAUAUUUAAAACAUGAAAGUAAAUAACUUUUAAGUUCACAGUUGUGAUUUAUAAAGUGGGUAGUUAUAGCGGUGUAAUUUUCAUUUUUUACAGAGGUCCAGCUAUCUGUGGUUAGACUUACAAAAUUUGCAUUUUCAUGGAUAUCUUUUUUAACUUUAUCAUAUAUUUCACUGUACAUAAUUGGCAAGCGAGAUUUAGUUAAAGUUUUUCUUGAUGGUUUGGGAAUAUAUCGCGUUAUGUUGGAUUGAAUUUGAACUGGUGGAGCUACGGGAUCAGAAGAAGUUAACGUGCCGGGUAUUUGAUUUGAAACACAAAUUUGUGAAUUAACAGCCUAAGAAUAAUUAUUGUUUUAUUUUAAUAUUAAAUAUUGAAAUUUUAUAUUGUAUUAUACCUAUCAAAUAUAAAAUGUAUGAUUAUAA